UGCCCAGCAACUCCUAUCCCUACCUCCACGUGGUACCGGCCGGAAACUAUGAGCAACCUUAGGGAAGAUCGGGUUACCAACCCCGGUGGGAACUUUGGUCGUUAGGCUGACAGGGAAGG
rnacentral:ribozyme from 1 species